GUGAGUGUAGCUCAGGUGGUUAGAGCGCCAGUCUGUGGAACUGGAAGUCGUGGGUUCAAGCCCCAUCACUCACC
rnacentral:tRNA from 1 species